UGGGGAAUUUUGGACAAUGGGCGAAAGCCUGAUCCAGCAAUGCCGCGUGUGUGAAGAAGGCCUUCGGGUUGUAAAGCACUUUUGUCCGGAAAGAAAUCCUUGGCUCUAAUACAGUCGGGGGAUGACGGUACCGGAAGAAUAAGCACCGGCUAACUACGUGCCAGCAGCCGCGGUAAUACGUAGGGUGCAAGCGUUAAUCGGAAUUACUGGGCGUAAAGCGUGCGCAGGCGGUUUGCUAAGACCGAUGUGAAAUCCCCGGGCUCAACCUGGGGAACUGCAUUGGUGACUGGCAGGCUAGAGUAUGGCAGAGGGGGGUAGAAUUCCACGUGUAGCAGUGAAAUGCGUAGAGAUGUGGAGGAAUACCGAUGGCGAAGGCAGCCCCCUGGGCCAAUACUGACGCUCAUGCACGAAAGCGUGGGGAGCAAAACAGGAUUAGAUACCCUGGUAGUCCACGCCCUAAACGAUGUCAACUAGUUGUUGGGGAUUCAUUUCCUUAGUAACGUAGCUAACGCGUGAAGUUGACCGCCUGGGGAGUACGGUCG
rnacentral:rRNA from 1 species